CCGGGGAACACCCACUGAAGAGCUUCAUAUUGUCAUGGCACGAACCUGCAGGAUGCUAUAAAUAAAUAACAUUUAUAUUUGAUUUGUUCAGAUCUUCAGUCUGUACUUGUAACUCUAGGAGAGGACAUUUCUACUUCUACCAGUCCUAACAUUUUAGCGGGAUUUGCUUUUUCCAGGGAUAAGUAGGAACCAACAGCCAAAGAAAAGAGACACAUGAUGGAAGAACAAUAUGUCAUUCAACAUGGUUUUGUCCGUGACAGGCACUACCACUCUCCUGCUCUUGCGCUGAUUGUGAAUAUUUGGGUGUUCCACACUACACGCCGGAUGGUCUAUCUGAGAACUGCCAACGCCUAUCCGUAUCUGUGUGGGUCAGACCAGCCAAGACCUAACGCGCUAGCCGAGUAAAUCGCAUGUGCUUUUUGAUGCACCCUAAACUGCUGAGUGCUGAUCGGCUCGACACCGAUGCCCGUGUGAGCUCAAAAAAACUAGGUUGAAUGAGAAGGAAAUCAACAUAUGAAGAUGUUUGCUUGAGAUAUACUAUGUUUGAACUCAUACGGGGCAGCGUGCUGAAUGACAACGAACUUGUCGAUCAGAACAAGCUCUAGACUUUCACUUCCUGUUGUGAAAGAGCUUGCAUAUGUGCAACUAUAUGCCAGGGCUGUGUUCACGGUACAAAGACUAUAAGGAUGUGUGUGUGGAGAGGACUAAAGGCAAGAGCUAUGUUAUCAUGUUCGGUUCCGCGGUCAAUUCUUGGUUUAUUUUCAUUAUAUUGUUCCUAUUUCAUAUGCGCUGGUUCUUGCAAGCGAGGUAUCAAACGGAAGCAAUUGCAUGUUCCAUCGUCGCAUGGUUCAUCUUUUGAGAGGUGACAUGUUGUUUAGAUGUCCUAUAGAGGCAGAGAAUAGACCAUGCAAAAUCACGGAAGGAAAGGAGAUGCUCGAAAAUAGACCUUGCUCUAAUAGGCU